AUGCUGACGCUGACAAGCCCACUGAAGCGGGAUGAUGGUUGGUCUCAAAGGGUCGUUCCCGGGAGUCAGCCACAGCCUCUGACUCCCUCAGCGGGUUUCGGCGAGAGACAGUCUACUUGUUAAAGAUGAGGGUUACGACGAGGGUGGAAAAUUUCAGUUUGAUACUGAAGUUCCUGAUAUGUACAACGUGGUGCCUCCCACAGUGAAAUGCUUGACCAGGAUCUGGCACCCCAGCAUCACAGAGACAGGCGAAGUAUGUCUGAGUUUACUGAGAGAACGUUUGAUUGACAGCACCGGCUGCGCUCCCACGAGGACACUGAAGGAUAUUGUUCGGGGAUUCAACGCUUUGUUAAGCGAUCUUUUGAAUUUUGAUGAUCCACUGCAUGUUGAAGCUGCAGAACAUCAUUUGCCAGACAAGGAGGACUUCCAGAAUAAAGUUAAAGAGUACAUGAAACAUUAUGCCAGAGGAUAGGACGAGAAGACUGCAGCGCCGUGGACUGUGCGUUAUAAGUUUGUCUCCAACUGAAACAAAAGGGGAGCCUCUUCCUCAGUCCUCGCGCUCCCCUCGGUCCCAUUGGGUCCUCAAGUCCUGUGACUAUGUUGUCCUGAGGAAGAACCUCUUCAUGACUGCCCAUUGUAGAUGGAGAGUUCUACAUAAAUACAGCAAGAGAAUGUGUUUGGGGUUCUCAAGAGUUGUCCCCUUACCUUAACAUGCUUACUUUUUUGCAACUGUACUCUAUAGGCUGGUGGUGAGAUUCUUGAGAAGUUGUAAUGAACUCAGAAUUGAGGCUAGAGCUUGUUUCUUUCCCUUCUCCCAAAGUCAGUUCCCUGCACAGGUCAUGCUAAUAAUGUGCUCAGUGUAGCUCACAGAUUGGCAAUCAGAAACCCACUACAAACUGUGAUUGGAUGCAAAUUCUCUUAGUUCCUUCCACAAAUGUUAGCCUUGCCUAGACGUCGUGAAGCUUCCUAAAAUGCAUAACCAUUCACUGUAGAUCACUUACUGAAAUGCGUAUUUUAUUUAAUGUAAGUACAUUUUGGAACAUUUGUAAUUUGUACGAUUUAGUACUUUAAUUAUUUUUUUCUAUUCUCAAUUUAGUUUGUAUUUUCAUUGUAUAGAGCAGACAGAAGGAUGUUGAGUCAAGCAACUAUUGAAGAGAAAUACAAAGAAAAUA